GGAGGUGUAGCUUAGUGGUAGAGCACAUGCCUAGCACAUGUGAGGCCCUGGGUUCCAUCCUCAGCACUUCAU
rnacentral:tRNA from 1 species